rnacentral:rRNA from 1 species
CUUUAUUGGAGAGUUUGAUCCUGGCUCAGGAUGAACGCUGGCGGCGUGCCUAAUACAUGCAAGUCGAGCGAAC